rnacentral:lncRNA from 1 species
AUGAACCCCGGGAACCUCAUGCAUUUCCCAUGUGAUCGAUGCUCUAAAUGCAUGGCAAAAUCCUCUUUUUGGCUGCGUGGGUUUGGGCAGAAGACCCUGCGGAAGUGUAUUUCUGGUUUUCCAGCAAGUUCUCCAGAGAUGUACACGACAGGAAGGCGCCGCGGCCGCGGGCCGGCUGUCCCGGACCAGUCGUGCUGCGUGCGCAGCGCGGCGCCCCGUCCCCGCGGACAGGCACGCGCAGAGCCCCGCGCGGCCGAUACCCCUCGCCAACGGCAGACGGAAAAGCGGCCUCAGCAAGACAAGCAGCUCUCAAACGGUCUGUCGCAGCCCCCGGUUAUUAUUAUAAACUACACUGGGUUUAAUAUAAAAGCACCAGGCUCGUGCCGCCGGUUCCCCUGCCAGGAAGGAGCGCUGCGUUCCCGCGCCUGGCGCUGCUGGACAUGACACGCAGCAGGAAGACAGGCCCUUAUCUCCCAGCGCUGCCGUGAGAACCAACGGAGAGGAUGCUUUAUCUCUGGACUAGGGAGCAAAGAGGUUGUCCAUGUGUUUCCCACGUUUCCUCCGAUUCAGAUAGCCACUUCCAAAUUAAUCAAAGYGUCCCUACUCUUUGUAACCAAAACAGAAUGCUCCUACCCUGGAAACAUUUUAAAUCGUUAUUUUUCUAAGUAGGGCUAAAGACCUAAGCAAAAUCUGGAUAAAUAGUGAACAGAAUCAGUGGUCUGGCCAAAAAAAUGUCAGCUUUAAUAAGAAAGUGUCGAAGUUAUGGAUGUAUUCAGAACACAAAACUCUAACACAGAAAAAUAAAAUAAUGCUAUAGAACCA